AGUUUGUCAAAGCAAGUUCAAGAGGUGAUGAACACUGCCAGGUGAAUUGGAAAGCAACUCAUAAGAAUAAGGAAAGAAGUAUGAAAUAGGUGUAAAGAAACUGUUCGUGUACUUGAUGGUUUGCAAAUAUCAUGGGGAGGCUCCAGAUUGUGUUUUCCAAAGAUGACUAAAACAGUAUCAUCUCCCAUUCCCUAUGCUCUUCUAAGACCUUGCUAUUCAUUUUCCCAUUAAGAGAGAGAAUCUCCGAGAUGCUCUGGAAGAACAAUGGCCAAGCAAAAUUCUCCCGGAGGACAGAGUCUGUGGCAGUCUUUCUGGGUGACCAGCCUUCAGUGGUCCAAGAACCUGCUGCUCCCGGGUCCUCUCAUUUGAAGACACCCACCGCCUAAGGAUGAAGAGAAGCUCCUUCUUGCAGAUCUGAGGCUGAUUUCCCAACUCCCAGGAACACCCUACCCACAGCCUGUUCCCCAGACCCAGAUGGGGUUUGCAGGAGCAAUGGCUGUAGGGACACUAAGAUUUCACCCUCCAGAAGACAGCAUCUUCCUGUGCCAUGGCUAGAUCACCAGCUACCCACAGACAGCCUGAACUCCAAUUGUCUUCCUGCACAUGUGCCUUUAAAGGAACUUUUCAAAUGUAGAGGAGCCUUUAGAAGGAAGCCUUGAGCAUGAGGACAGACCCCCCUCAUCCAACCACCACCUGACUCUGUGUGAACCUGGAACUGUUAGAAUGUCUGUGCUGUGAUAAAAGGUCAUCUCCCUACAAUGUUAUGAUACAGACCUCAAACCUACAAACAUGAGGAACUUCUGCCUCCAGGUUAACUGCUUACCCACUGUACAAGACACGUUACACACAGUCCAGGAGGCGGAGCUUCUGAGAUAUCUAGAAACAGCUUAGAGGCAAAAUGACAAAAUAAAGCAGCAACAACAAAUAAAACCAAUCUUCUCGAACUGGCUCUCGCUUUGGUCUAACUAGUUAUGCACUACUUGGAUAACUAUAUCAAGUUCCCUUGAGUCGUCUUUUACUUUAAAAUGUUAUUGUAGGACUGACUCAUCCAUUCCUUAUCAUGCCCAGUGUACUGUUCAUAUCUCAUAGUCAACUUGGUGCUAAAAGUAGUGACGAGCCAUUUACAAUGCCAGAAAUCAAAUUUUGUAUCAGUUAGAAUCAGGUUUGUCUCCAAACAAUAAAUAAUAAUGAAUGUGAUAA
ensembl:lncRNA LINC01255 long intergenic non-protein coding RNA 1255